rnacentral:rRNA from 1 species
CAGUCGAGGGGCAGCAUGGUCUUAGCUUGCUAAGGCUGAUGGCGACCGGUUCACGGGUGAGUAACACGUAUCCAACCUGCCGUCUACUCUUGGCCAGCCUUCUGAAAGGAAGAUUAAUCCAGGAUGGGAUCAUGAGUUCACAUGUCCGCAUGAUUAAAGGUAUCUUCCGGUAGACGAUGGGGAUGCGUUCCAUUAGAUAGUAGGCGGGGUAACGGCCCACCUAGUCAACGAUGGAUAGGGGUUCUGAGAGGAAGGUCCCCCACAUUGGAACUGAGACACGGUCCAAACUCCUACGGGAGGCAGCAGUGAGGAAUACUGGUCAAUGGGCGAUGGCCUGAACCAGUCAAGUAGCGUGAAGGAUGACUGCCCUAUGGGUUGUAAACUUCUUUUAUAAAGGAAUAAAGUCGGGUAUGCAUACCCGUUUGCAUGUACUUUAUGAAUAAGGAUCGGCUAACUCCGUGCCAGCAGCCGCGGUAAUACGGAGGAUCCGAGCGUUAUCCGGAUUUAUUGGGUUUAAAGGGAGCGUAGAUGGAUGUUUAAGUCAGUUGUGAAAGUUUGCGGCUCAACCGUAAAAUUGCAGUUGAUACUGGAUGUCUUGAGUGCAGUUGAGGCAGGCGGAAUUCGUGGUGUAGCGGUGAAAUGCUUAGAUAUCACGAAGAACUCCGAUUGCGAAGGCAGCCUGCUAAGCUGCAACUGACAUUGAGGCUCGAAAGUGUGGGUAUCAAACAGGAUUAGAUACCCUGGUAGUCCACACGGUAAACGAUGAAUACUCGCUGUUUGCGAUAUACGGCAAGCGGCCAAGCGAAAGCGUU